rnacentral:tRNA from 2 species
GGAGAGUUGUCCGAGUGGUUGAAGGAGCACGCCUGGAAAGCGUGUAUACGGGUUACCGUAUCGAGGGUUCAAAUCCCUCACUCUCCGCCA